AGUGAACGCUGGCGGUAGGCCUAACACAUGCAAGUCGAACGGCAGCACAGGAGAGCUUGCUCUCUGGGUGGCGAGUGGCGGACGGGUGAGGAAUACAUCGGAAUCUACUUUUUCGUGGGGGAUAACGUAGGGAAACUUACGCUAAUACCGCAUACGACCUACGGGUGAAAGCAGGGGACCUUCGGGCCUUGCGCGAUUGAAUGAGCCGAUGUCGGAUUAGCUAGUUGGCGGGGUAAAGGCCCACCAAGGCGACGAUCCGUAGCUGGUCUGAGAGGAUGAUCGGCCACACGUGAACUGAGACACGGUCCAGACUCCUACGGGAGGCAGCAGUGGGGAAUAUUGGACAAUGGGCGCAAGCCUGAUCCAGCCAUACCGCGUGGGUGAAGAAGGCCUUCGGGUUGUAAAGCCCUUUCGUUGGGAAAGAAAUCCAGCUGGCUAAUACCCGGUUGGGAUGACGGUACCCAAAGAAUAAGCACCGGCUAACUUCGUACCAGCCGCCGCCGUAA
rnacentral:rRNA from 1 species